rnacentral:rRNA from 1 species
AACGAACGCUGGCGGCAUGCCUAACACAUGCAAGUCGAACGAGACCUUCGGGUCUAGUGGCGCACGGGUGCGUAACGCGUGGGAAUCUACCCUUGGGUUCGGAAUAACUCAGAGAAAUUUGAGCUAAUACCGGAUGAUGUCGCAAGACCAAAGAUUUAUCGCCCAAGGAUGAGCCCGCGUAGGAUUAGCUUGUUGGUGAGGUAAAAGCUCACCAAGGCGACGAUCCUUAGCUGGUCUGAGAGGAUGAUCAGCCACACUGGGACUGAGACACGGCCCAGACUCCUACGGGAGGCAGCAGUGGGGAAUAUUGGACAAUGGGCGAAAGCCUGACCCAGCAAUGCCGCGUGAGUGAUGAAGGCCUUAGGGUUGUAAAGCUCUUUUACCCGGGAUGGAUAAAUGACAGUACCGGGAGAAUAAGCCCCGGCUAACUCCGUGCCAGCAGCCGCGGUAAU